rnacentral:lncRNA from 1 species
GGAACAACCUUUCCUUAACAUCCAAUGGCACGUGGCUGGCCCUCCACCCUCUUUUCCUGGAAGAGGCAUUUGAAUGAAACACUUGACAAAUAUUUAUAUGCUAGUAACCAUGCUAGAAUAACAGCCACAGUCUGCUAUGACCUGAAUUGAACCAGAAAAUGCAGAGUGAAGGCAGGGGGAACACGGCUCGGGGUCCUCUCUGGUCAGGCCUGGAGCCAGCGCUUGUAAACUGUGGACUAUCACCCACUGUUGAGAGGCCUCCUUUCGGCAGACUUCAGCACAGGGAUGUGGACUUGUUUCUAUGAAAGCCUGGAAUUCCUGUAGGGGUAGUGCCGUAAAACCGGAUCUUUACCUUCCUUAUUUAAAGGACUUUUUUGCGCAUAGACUGCCUGUCCUGGCCUCUCUCCCACUCUGGAAAGGAAGGGCUGAGAGAGAAAAACACACUGGAGAUGCUGUUUUGGAUGGAAACACACUCGCUGCCUGUUUCCCUGUGUGCCCAUGGUUCUUCUAGGUGCUGGGAAUAGACGAGUGAGAUGCAGACAAGGCCCCAGUCCUCACGGCACUUAUGUGCUAUGAGGAAACAAGGAAUGCACAUACCCCAUCGAGGAGGUGUCAGUCCAUCUUCAUGAGCCAAAAGGUGACAUGUGCCAAGGAAACAGGAAUAGAGCCUUGAGUGAAGCAUCAGACCAGUACAGCCGACCUGGUGGGCCUUGGUGCAAAGGGAAUGGAGCAAAGACUGGGAGGUAAUGAGGGGAUUCCCCAGGUGCUCCCCUGGGAGAAGAGAAUUCUGCCCACAGGCCCUGCCACCAGCGAGGGCCUUGCGUGCCGUGGAGUGGGAGGAACCACAAGGUGAGAAGGGUCUGAGGAUGUGGGCAUGGAGGCAUUGCAAGGACUUUGAAUUUACUCUGAGAGAUGAGUAGUCACUGGGAGGUUUGCAGCCCAGACAACCCACACGGUCAUUUCAGGAAGCUUGAGAGAGACUCAGUAUGUGGGGCAGCGGGCCCCCGUUUGUGGGGGCCACAGCGCAAACGCACCUGAGCCUGGAGCUGCUGGAACUCCUCUCUCUGCAGCCAGAGACCCAGGCUCACUCCUGGGCCUCCAUUCCGCCUGCUGGAUCAGCAAAAAUGAAAUGACUAAAUGGGCUGUUGGAUUUCAAAGAAUUACAGCCCCACUCCAGUCCUUGAGAGAGAAGCAGAGGCCCUGUUCCCCUGCGUCUGUGUGGCCUGCUGCAAAUAACGGGCUGGGUUUAUGGCGAGGGGACGGCUGGGCGGUUGCUUGUCUAGAAACGCACCAUGUGGUCCCUGCCUCCUCCUGAGCCUCAAUGGCCGCCUGGGACAUAGAUAGCCAGACAUCGCCAAUUUCCAGGUUCAAAAUUAUAUUCCCCCAACGUGAGUUAAUCUUCCCAUGAAAGGAAGAAAUACUUUUCACUUCAUGUUACUCUCUCUACUUUUUUUUUAAAGCAUCAGAUCUUUUAUCUCUAGUAUGACUAUGGAUGAAAUAUCACCAGCUUCAUAUUUCAAGAUAAUUUCCCUUCCAGCAAACAUUCCCCUAGGAAUAAAGACAUGUAGUGCCCACACUGCUGGGCUGCUUUUUCCGCCUCUGUCUAAACAAGGCCCUGUGUGUUCCAUCUGCUUGUCGGUUCCCAGUGUGCACUGGUCACUGCUGGGCUGAAAGGUCUCGCUUUUAGCUUCCUAGAUAGGCCAGCGAGGUUAAUAAGUUAAUAAAAUCCUAUUUAUCAGACUCCGGAGUCCAUUUCCUCUUCCCCGUGGCUCAUGGUUGUAAUUAUUCUUUAUGGACUCUCGGUGUUCCUUUAGAUCUGAUUUCCUCGCACUCCCCUCCCAUUUCCUGAAAGCCACGCCACAGAAGGAGAGAGUGGUCUUUUCUCUGGAAAGAUGUCUGUUACUCAUUUCCACCUUGGUGUCACGAAAGCUAGUCUGAAGGGAUACGUUUAAAUAUUUAAAAUUUUAAGAUGCAUGUGGAACAGCCUGGGUUGCUUCUCCUCCUGAGCAGAUUAGGUUAGAAAGACCUGGGGGCCCCUGGAUAACCCGGCGUAGCUGUCCAGGAGUGCAGAGAUUGGGAACCAGAUCCUGGGCUCUUGGCAGCUUCAGCUUUAUCUGGAAAAUUGGAGCCAUCAUUUCGACCAUGCUCACAUAUGAAGAUAAAUGACAAUAGCUUGCGUGAAAGUGUUUUUGAAAACAACAAUAACAACAAAACACAGAAAAAGAAGGCAUGAUCUUGGCUGCUUUUGAUGUGACUGUUUCCCUUAGCAGGGUGCCAGGGAUAUGGGGAAUUUAGGCCAAAUUAGCCGGAGCUUCUCUUAUUAGCGAAGAUUCGCUUAUCAGGUUCCCUGCUGUCAGCUUGGAAGACCCAGAGUCUGACCCCGAAUAAUGAAAUAGAGGACAAAUGAAGAUUCUGUCUCUGAGCAGGACUCGGGAUGGGGAGCAGUGGGCCCCAGCUGGAGGGGCGCAGGUCAGGCUGUAGGGCCCCUGGAGCUGGCUCCCUGGCUUGAGAGAAAGGGCCACAGUCACCUUCGCCUGCCCAGGCCCAGUCGUCUUUCUCGGGAGUGGCGGAAUGUAGCUUUCUACCCUACGGGCUCCUGCGCCUCACAGUGCUGGCUUUGGGUUUCUUCUGGGUCUCUGUGCUAACUUAGGCUCCGACGUUUCUAACUUUGGCCAAGAAGGUUUUGUAUACGAAUUUAUAGUGUACUGUAUAUGUGUGUGUGUGUGUGUGUGUGUACGCGUGCACACCAGCACAUGCACUUUUUAAAACAACUAGGAAUCUUCUCAGCAAACACUAUUCCUUGUCUACUCCCUUCUCUUGAAGAUGGUCACUGAGUGGCUACGGAGACACAAACUUGGAGGAAAGCACCCUGGCCUUGCCAACAGUGGAGAGUGCCCCAGGGCCAACCCCGAUGAAUCUCUGCCAGAUGAGGUGCAGAAGGGGAUGGGGCAAAGGAAGCAGAUACUCCCCCACGUGACUUCCCCACAGGAGCCACUUAACCAGAGGAAGACAGUGAUAUGGUUUGGCUGUGUCCCACCCAAAUCUCAUCUUGAACUGUAGUUCUCGUAAUCCCCAUGUGCUGUGGGAGCAACACGGUGGGAGGUAAUUGAAUCACGGGGGUGGUUACCUCCAUGCUGUUCUGGUGAUAGUGAGUGAGUUCUCACGAGAUCUGAUGGUUUUAUAAGGGACUUUUCCCCUUUUGCUCAGCACUUUUCCUUGCUGCCGCUAUGUGAAGAAGGAUGUGUUUGCUUCCCCUUCCUCCAUGAUUAUAAGUUUCCUGAGGCCUGCCCAGCCCUGCAGAACUGUGAGUCAGUUAAACUUUCUUUAUAAAUUACCCAGUCUCAGAUAUGUCUUUACUGGCAAUGUGAGAACGGACUAAUACAGAUGGGCAGAGAAAGGUCUCCGUGCCAGCAUCUAACCUGGUGAUCAAGGAUGGAAAGAAGAGUGGGGCCACACCAUGUAGAGACUCCUCUGAGCCAAUUUCACUUGAGGGCCUUGGCCUACAAGCCAAACAAACAAACAAACACAUAAACAAACAGGGGGGCUAUGGCUGCCAAAAUACACAGAGGCACAGCCCCCAGGUGGCCCCCAGCUUCCUUGCCCCCACAUCCUGAACACCCCUCUGCACAGUAACAAGCUGGCAGAGAAAAACUACAAGCAAUUUAAAAUUUCUUCCCUUUCCUCUAUCUGACCUUCAGAGAACUAGUCUGAGAUCUACGACAACUUCAGAAUCCAUCUCUGCCCAACCCUGGACAGGCACAGACUUCCCUCUGCAAGAAUAUAAAAGCAAGCACAUAAACCACAACCAACUAGGCAUCUGAAUCUAUUAAUUAAUUCAACAUCCAUUGAAUAAGUCAAAAGAGGAAGAUAAUAUGAUCAAUUAAUAAAUGCCAAAGAGCUCCUUGGCUAAAAUCCAACCUAUCUUAAUUAAUUUCACCUACACAUGCACUAAACAAACAAUCCAUGUGAUAUGAGAUUCUGUUGCAGUUCUCUAAUGUGGUUCUUAAAAAAUCUCAAAACAAAAAUCAUUGUCAUGCUUCACUGUGACACAAUAAAGCCAUUCAAAUUAAAGUCAAGACAAUGAAAAGGAUGCCUAUGUUCACUGUUGUUAUUUAAUAUGGUUUUGGAAAUACCAGCCAAUGCAAUUAGAUAAGAGAUCAUUUGAAGAUGGCAUUAGUGUGUGUCUAGAAACACAAAGUAAAUCAAGCGAAAACAUUAUUAGAAUCAAUAGGAGAAUUCAGUUAGGUGGUCUUAAAAUUACUAUGCAAAAUCAAUAGCUUUCCUUUAUCUGAAAAAAUAAACAUUUAGAAAGUGUAACAGAAGGAGCAUACCCAUCUGAAUGGCAAUAACAUUUGAAUAGCCAGUAAUAAACUUUAUAAAACAACUGCAGGACCAAUGUGAGGGAAAUAUUGUAUUCUGCUGAGAGACAUAAACCCUAUGAGGAGUAUUUUCUUCUGAUGAGGUAAUUCUCAGGAUACAGAUGGACGUCUGUGCUCUGAAGUUUAAUCCUCUCACCCAAGAUCAAAGAGAAAGUAAGUGCACAGCCAGAACUGAGCCCUGGUUUAUCUGUUGUCAAACCCACAUUCUUCACUGUGAAGCUAAUAUUUGCACAAAGUAAAGAAAUAAAAAAAGAGAUAAAUGAAAUUAAAAAGAUGUGAGAAGAAGAACACAGGCCACCGAGAGCUAACAUGUAGACAGUGGGUGCCUGUAACGUCAGGAACAGAACAAGUGGAAGAGAAGGGCAAGCACGUUCAGAAGGACCAGAGAAGAAAUCAUGCUCAAGCAAAGAAUUCAAUCUGCUGCUUGAAAGGCCACAUCAUAUUCCUGGAAAAUUUUAAUAACAAAAAUAAAUCCUAAGGUAUGUCUUGCUAGAAAUAUUUAACUCUAAGGAUUAAGAAAGAAUACUACAAGCUUUCAGGCAGAAGAAAAGGCUCAUGGCCUAAAGGAGGAAAAAUGCAGAGCAACAUGGACCUUAGACUUGUCCUCGACACAGCUCUAUCGCAGAAGCAAAUUUCACGGUAGCUUUAGGAGAACAUGAGAGUCCUAAUGUUUGUACCCAGUGAAGUUUUUCUUCAUGUAUAAAUUCAACAAAAAAUCAUAAUAAA